AUUGAACGCUGGCGGCAUGCUUUACACAUGCAAGUCGAACGGUAACAGGCCGCAAGGUGCUGACGAGUGGCGAACGGGUGAGUAAUGCAUCGGAACGUGCCCAGUCGUGGGGGAUAACGCAGCGAAAGCUGCGCUAAUACCGCAUACGAUCUAUGGAUGAAAGCGGGGGACCGUAAGGCAUCGCGCGAUUGGAGCGGCCGAUGUCAGAUUAGGUAGGUGGUGGGGUAAAGGCACACCAAGCCAACGAUCUGUAGCUGGUCUGAGAGGACGACCAGCCACACUGGGACUGAGACACGGCCCAGACUCCUACGGGAGGCAGCAGUGGGGAAUUUUGGACAAUGGGCGCAAGCCUGAUCCAGCAAUGCCGCGUGCAGGAAGAAGGCCUUCGGGUUGUAAACUGCUUUUGUACGGAACGAAACGGUCCUGGUUAAUACCCGGGGCUAAUGACGGUACCGUAAGAAUAAGCACCGGCUAACUACGUGCCAGCAGCCGCCGUAAGAC
rnacentral:rRNA from 1 species